rnacentral:tRNA from 2 species
GCGGGCGAAUGUUCCAAGGCUGGCGAAUUGGUCUCCAAAACCGAUUGGAUAGGUUCGAUCCCUAUCGCCCGUGCCA